rnacentral:lncRNA from 1 species
UGAAGUUAAGUUCUGAUCGUAACUUCUGUUUGGAAUUUGAAACAAAAUAGCACUCAGACCUGCUCUGAGGAGUCCUCUGCAUUAGAAUUCAACCUUUGUCGCUUCGGUCUGAAGCAUGCAAACCUUUUAGCAUUUGAGAAGAAGUUGGGAAGAAAAAAUAUAAAGCACAAUGCAUUUGGAGACGACAGUUUUCCGAAAAAUGGUCUAUUUAUUGUACUUGUUUCGACCUGAUGCGACACGUUGCAUCGAAUGGCUGCAUUACAUGGGGAUAGAUAACUUUUUCUAUUAUUUUCUCUACCCUUUCCAAUAUGAAAAGAGAAACAAUAUUUAUUAUCAUAGGAAAGUAAGUUUAUGCAUCGCUCAAUAACUUCUGAUGUUAUUCACGUCGCUUGCAUUUCCUUCUGAUGGGAGUUAUUUUUCCCUUUGCACAAAUACUUGCGAUGUAUUACUAUAGCUUAUUUUGAUAUUAUUGUUUUCUUCCUUUAUCUGGGUUCUUCUCAUGCCUGGGCACUUCAGAUAGCUACUUCCCGUCUGUAUGUGAUAAUAGUUGCUACUAUACUACCCUCAUAGGUAUCAACUGGCUUGAUAGGGUUUAAGAUGAGGCGUGUUCAAUUUUCCGUUGUCAAGAAUUUGUUCCCAAUAUCUAGAGAUCACUGCUAGAUAGACCAUCAGUCAAAGAAUUAUUUCAAUUAUUUUCGCAUGUGCUGUAGCCGACCAUAUAUUUGACGGGAAAUGGCUCAAAAAGCGGUGCUAGUGCUGAUGUUGAUAUCCUAAUUAUAUCGGUGUUUCUUACUGCAAUCUAUUUUCUUCUUGAAAUUGAUUUUGGGUUUUUCUACUGAAGUUGAGUCUUGCUUUAUCUCCUUCAAAUUUUGGGUAUCACAGGUAGCUCAAGAGAUAGAGUCUGAAGCAAAGUACCAGAAUGAUUUUCUAGCUCAACUGGUAAUUGUCCUUUUCUUUGUUGUCUAUACAAUUUAUUUUACUUUCAUGAUGGGAAACUUUUUUGUAUUGUUGUUCUUUCAAAUUUUAAAUUAGAGGUUUUAUAUGGUUAACUUGGCAUUCUUUCUUAGCUGCAUGUAUAUGGAUUCAUUUUUUCUAUUUGUCAUAUGCCUUUGCACUUGCAGUAUUGUGAUUCCUGUCAGCUUCGCGUCCAUAGGGUGGUUCAUUUAACUGCAACCAAGAAAAUUUAACGAGUAGUCAAUCCACUGUAAUAUUACAAAGCAGAUCACAUUGGACUGAUCUUCACUUUGUACAACUUAUAUCUUGAUGUCUUUCUAUAAUUUCCACGUUUUAAGCUAUAACUUUUCAUUUAGUAAAAUAAUAAUGUUCACAUAUACGCACUCGAUUUCAUAAUUUACCUUAUUUUCCACCCAUUUUCUUUGCGGCAAUCAUAACCCUGGUUGAAAGUCAGAAACGACUCUCCAGAAUGAUUUUCUAGCUCAACUUGUAUUGUUAUCUUUUUUCUACGUUUACAGCAUUGUUUUUACUUGUAAGUUUUGUAUUGCUUUUUUCUACGUUUACAGCAUUGUUUUUACUUGUAAGUUUUGUAUUGCUUUUUUCUACGUUUACAGCAUUGUUUUUACUCUUUAAGUUUUGUAUUGUUUUUUUUCUACACUUGCAGCAUUGUUUUUACUCGUAAGUUUUGUGGAAAGCAUUUUGCAUUCAGUUUUCUCCUCCUCUGUGCUUUGUUGCGGGCCUACAUAUGAUCUUUGGAUUGCAUUUUUCCCAAUGAGAUUAAAACUGAGCUUACUCAAAUUUUGUCACCCGCAAGCACCUAAUUAACCCACAGAAUUUUGUUUUCCUCCCUAUGAUGGGUUUCUUUAUAUUAAUUGAUGCUUUACUGAAAAAAAAGAAAGGUUGGUAACUUCAUAUAAAUUGAGAGCUAUGGGAAAAGAGAUUUAAUGUUCAAAUGACCUGGAGUUCUUUAUGAUCCAUGUGCACAUUUGUAUUGUAUAAUGUUGCUUCUUUUAUCUGUCCGAAUGGGCUAGUUCCGAAAGUUCAGUGGACUCUCUUGGCAUCCAUUUGAUUAUAUCAGACUUCUUUAUCCGUGAUUCUUAUGAUUCUUUGGUUAUUGGACAGCAAAUGACGCUUAUAAAAGCCCAGGCAGGGGUGAAGAACAACAUGAGAAGGCUGAAUAAGAGCAUCAUCCAGCAGGGCUCCAAUCAUGUCGCUUAUGUCAUCCUCUUUGCGCUGAUGUGCUUCUUUGUAGUCUAUCUCCUGUCGAAAUUCUCAAGAAGAUGAGCCGUGAAAAGGCGAGAUUCUGAUAGUGCAUCUUCGUGUCCGCGGGAGCGGAGAGAACUAAGUCCGUGUGUUGACCAUAUAUUAAUGUGUGGUGCUGUAAUUGAAUUCUUAACUGGUAUAGCAUGAUUUUCCAGUUUGCCUGUUCCGAGUAAAAUUGAUCAUUCGGGCCUGCUCCGAGUAAAAUUGAUCAUUCGUAGGCUAUUCAUGAUUUUUCGUGAUGAUAAAAAACUUGCUUGCCGGUCCAUACUGCAUUAUAAUGAUCUUAGUCGGGACGAUUUCUUUGCGAGAGAAAGCAGGCCAUAAAUUGGCUCAAUUUUAACCAGAUCGACUUGUAAACAAUUAAAUUAGUACCCAAAAAAAUCGAGCUAAAUAGAUCGAGCUUCGUUGGGCUUCACGAGGGGGCGCUCGCUAGGCAAACUCUACCAGUAUACAUUUUGGGAAAGAUUUAAAAUUUACUAAUUUCCUACUGUCUUAUUUUAGUACUUUAUGGUUUAAAAUAUAUCACUCGUGAUUUUAUUUUAUAAUUAUUUUUUAUUAAUUAAUUUUUAUGAAAUCAGUGAAAAAAUUAGAAUUAAAAGAUACUAAAAUAAAUAUUCAAUAAAAAUUUAGAUAGAGUUAUUUGUAUACGAUUCAAUAAAAUAUUAACAAAAGAACUGACGAAAAGAAAAAAAUAAAAUCACAGGAUACCAAAUCAAUACACUUUAAACCACACAGACGUAUUUGAAGUUUUUCCUACUUUUUUUUUGUAAGCAACACUUAUCAGAUUGACGAAAUCUUUGUAUUUAAGGCAGGAAUAGUAGUAAAUACCGAAAAACCUUAACAUAUCUUACGAUCUAUUGACCUGUUAUCAAUGCCGUGGUAAAAGAAAUAUCUCAAAAGGUUAAAACUAUAGAACAUUAACUUCGGACGUUAACCAACCUACCUACGGUAAAUAACUGAUCAAUGUUUAAUUAAGAAUAACUAGAUAAAAGGAUUAAGGCACUAUAUACAAGAAAAUUUACAGCCAAGUUAGUUUAUUACAAACUUAGGCCAUAAUAGCAUUCGAAAGAAAAAAGGGCAAACCCUUGGUCAAUGCUUUCUACAAAUUAGAAAAGCCCAGGGUACCUUUCAUUCCGUGACAAAAUCAAAUUGCCAUUGCCAUCGAGUAAGCGAAUGGAAGAUCAGUUCUUAGGUAGAAAAAUGCUCGACGCAGCCAAGAGUCAGAUGCUAUACACUGGAGUAGAGUCAGAACGCUGUGCAGAGGUUAGCUUUCAGGUUGGAAGAGCACUCCUGUUGGAUGGGAAUAGCGGGGCCGCAAAGCCUAGUCCUUUUCGGCUCGGAAAUCCUCACGCGCGAUAUUGCUGCAGCGAGGGCAUCGACAAAGCCACACUCGUCCUGCUCAUCCGACUUCUGACUGGACGUUUCCGAUAAUGAAGAGUCAAUCUCUGCCCUAAUUUUCUCCCAUUCUAUUCUUCUUGGGGCUAAAGUUCUGUUAGUUACCCUCAAUCUAGUGUUAGGUACUGCCUUUAGAGGGCAUUCUGUGUAGAACAAAAUCCAUGGAUGCCCUGAUAUUAAACACAAAAAAAAGAGACAAAAUUAGAAUAAUGAUUUGUUGAUGAUAACAUUAUUUUAUGGUAAAACAUACAGAUUUUACAAGAACAACAGUGCAUUUAGCAAUGUGUGCCUGAACUAUUAAAAUCUUGAUUGUAGUACCUUGCCUUUCAUUAUUCUUACUUUUAGAAAAUUCCAAAAUUUACUCAAACUAAUAGUUUCUCUCAAAAAGUGGUAGGACAUGCCAUCCAGUAACUCAUAUUCCUUUAGCAUAUAGAAUCCUUCGAAAAAGUUAAAAUUACUGUUAAGUUCUGAAGCAGAGGUACUGAAAUGGAAAAUACCGUGUACUCCAAUAGUAAAAUCAGUAUUUUUUAAGCUCAGGUGCUCAGUUCAAAAUGUGCUCUAAUGGAGGUAAUCUGUAUAUAUUCGUUAUUUCAACUUAUUAAAGCAGACGAAUGGUCAUACUGAGAACUUCAGAAGCAGUUAUUCUGGAGGAGACAUCGCGGGUCAGCAUGCGGCUGAUAAGAUCUCGUGCAAGUUCUGAUACGGAAUCCCACAUGCCGCUGUGGAAGUCGAGCUCGACGUUCUUAAUGGAUUCAAAAACAGCUUCCAGCGAGCCCCCCUGGAAUGGAAGUGCACCAACUAAGAGAGCAUGGAGGAGUACACCGGCACCCCAUAUGUCUACUUUCUCUGAGUAAUCACCCGAAAGAACUUCUGGGGCAACAUAGGCUGGGCUUCCGGCAAUGCCAGACAAUUUCUGACCUGCUUAAAAUUGAUUCAACCAAUAAAGUCAGAGGCGCGAAUAUUCACCAAAAGUUUUCUCUGAUGGUGCUGAAGAGUAAAAGAAGGAUAAUGUUUAACUAAACACCAAAAAAUCACCUUUAAUAAUCUUAGACUACUAGUAUGCAACUAAUUGCUAAAUAAUCUAAAGUUACAAUCAAGUGAUGCUGUUGAAUGAAAAGCAAACAUGUCAUGCUAUGGGAGACUAUAAUUAUAUAGGUUUCGGGAAAAAAAAACACUUCAGUCAACAACAAAAAGUAAAAAGGGAGAGCAAUUCAGAACUCUUUUGACAAGCUUGAUGAAAUGAGUUACCUAGCCUCAUGAAGCCACCUCACCCAGUUAAGCAAAGAUGACAUGAAACAGAUGAAGACAUGUAUCCAGUAACCUCGAGUAUGAACCACCUAGAACUCUAAUUGUGAGAAUGGAUCAGUAUUUGAAAAGGGAGGAUCACAAAGCAAAGUAGAAAUGUGUAAUGUCUAGAAUGCUGAAAAAUCAUAUGUGGUUCAAGUUUCUAAUUAAACUAAUCAGCAAUGUAAAAAAUGCAAACCACUUGCUUAGUUAGCACACUAAUAUUUAGAUAUCUAAAAGAUGAUUCUCAAAAGAAACCCGAAAGAUUUCUCCACAACCAAGACAGAUAGAUCAAGUGGAGAGACUAACAUCCCUGAACAAAUACGUCUUUGGAGUGAAAAGCCAACUUAUGUGCACGCUGGUGAAGAAUACACAAGUCCUCAUAGUAUGGAAAAAAUUUGGCGAAUUAAUGAUUUAGAUUAAUUAGAUCCCUCAACAGAAUCCACAAAGAUUAGGAGAGAUGCAUCAAACACCAAGGCCUAAAAAACACUAAUGUGAUCCUCACUAGUAACAAUAGUACUUAAUAGUCUUCAAUAACCUUGGAACAGUAAUAAACAUCAAUAUAUAGUUCCAAUCAGGAAUCUUGAUGACAGAUCUCUGAGCUGUAAAAUUUUGACAGAAUUCUGAAAGAGCUUAUCACAAUAAUGAGCCAAUUACACCAACAAUUUGUCACAAGUCAUUAUCUUAACCAUUGCUGGGCUGGUCAACCGACGCAAGAUAAUUGGCAAAUAUUUGGCACAUAAAAAUCCAGUAUACGGCCAAUUCUUUGCACAAAAAUGCAAGCAUAAGAAUAACACACAAACAUGCAAGAACAAGAAUACCACACACACACCACACCCCCAAUCCAGACACAAAAAGAAAAACAAAGGAAUAGAAAGCAGGCAGUUCUAAAGGUUAAAGUCAACAACAAUUCUUUGCAAACAUGUAUAACUAGUUAGUGCUACAAGAUCUCAUGCUAAAAUUUUUUAUUUACAUGUUAAUUCAUGUGCUAGAAACUUUGGUCAAACAAGUCUAAUUAGCGGAUUACUUGGUGCAUUUAAGAUUAGAUUCAAAUUCACGUAACUCUUAGGCAUUUUUAUUCUGAAUUCUAGUUUCUAUUGGUAAGAAAAUUUCAUGUUACUUGAUUUCAUUUUUUGACGUUAUUGCAAGAAGACAAGCUCCCCUCAGAGAAUCAAAAUAUGUUUUUACUAAUAUAUUGGAGCUAAGUAUACUUCUUCAAUUCUAUAGCCACCAGCAUGUUUAGAGAAGCAAAUAAAUAAGUUAACAAACUAACAAUCAUGGGCAGCAAUAAUUGAAUAGGAAAGCAUUGUUAUGGGUAGGGUUUUCACGAGAUAAUUGUUGUUUUGCAUGCUGAUGCUUUAAACAGUCUGUUGGGAAGGGUAGAGGCUUCGUGAGACAAAUGAUCUUUUACUACGAUAAUUAUGUUUUGUUCACUAAAGAGAACAUUAACGGUGUUCAGAGGAGAAAAUAGGCCGGUGAAUCUAACCAAUAGAGUCCAUUGUGGUCAAAGAGAUGUCGAAUGAGGAUUUAUCCACAAUUAGUGGGACAUUCCAACUGAAAGAAAUCCUAAAACUUAAAACACAUGGCAUAUGUGCCAGGGCAACUCAAAGAAAAGGAUAUAGGCCCUUAAAUGCCUCUUUUCUCUCUUUUUCCUGCAUAUUUUCUCACCCCACCACCCCUUGCAAAACUAUUCAAUUUGUCUCACUUUAUCCAAUGUAUUUUAGCUACACGGAAAUUCUGUAAUAGUCGACUGCAAAACUCUCAUCUAGAGAGAAGAUUUGAUGCAUAAUACUAUUUACUGAAGUACAUUCCCACAGAAUCAAUUGCUUACCUUAUAUAACAAAGCAUGACCUAAGAGCCUACAUCAUCAUAAAUUAGAUCCAGCGUUAGCCAUUUGAACCAUUGCACCAUUUCAGACAAUGAGGCUGUAUUACAGACUUACGCCAGCAAGAACAAAAACUUGAUCGAUCCUUAAAUUUGAGUUGGAAAGACUUCGAUCAUUUCUAAAAUUAGCCAAAUUGGACAGUUGUCUUUAUACCAACUACCAAGCUCGUAAAACCUCAAGGCCUUGAGCUGCCAAGACAAUAUAACAAAUCAUAGGGUAACUAUAGAUAAACGCCUCUAUAGAAAAACUCGGCAGAUUACAUGCGUAAAGAUAUACGUAAGAACUAAAAUAGAUGAUAAGUAGAAAAUGGUUACUACAAAAUGAGAAGUCAUGAGAUUCCAUCAAUCAAUCAGAAUUAACAAAACUUAGUAUGGAAUCCUGUUGUUCAACACAUACUGCCUAUUUUGCCCCUGCACUUCUGGCAGAAAAAGUUUUCACACAUAGAAUGUCAAGAAACAACUUUCCUACACUACAUAGACAGCUCACAAUCACAGUAGCCUUAAACUUACAAAGGAUGAAAAUGCCUUCACUAUAAAGUAAAUGAUGGCAAUCAAGCACUACAUAUGGAUGCAAAUGCUUCUCUGCGGAAAACCAGUUGAAUUUCUACUAUUCAAAGCACUACCGAUGUCAAAUCUAGAAGUGCAAACUUUGGCACAGCUAAAGUAUUAUUCUGUCCAUCAUUUGCAAAGCAUCAAAAUUACUGUUACUGAAAAUUAACAGUCAAAGUCAAAGAAGCAAGACAUUCAUAUGAGCAAUGAAGUAAACAUUUGCAAUGAUAAAACAAAAGCACUAUUAUAUAAUCGGAUUGGAAGCGGAAAAUUCUACGAGACAGUGGAGACCGAGCAAAUUUAUUCAAUUUGCAAACACUGUUGAUCUUACCAUUGGUAACUCGCACGGCCAAUCCAAAGUCAGCGAGCUUCAGCUUCCCAUUGUUUGUAAGGAGGAUGUUCUCGGGCUUAAUGUCGCGGUGGACAACCCCCAUAUUAUGGCAAUACUUGAUGACCAACAUCACCUCCAUUAGCACGUGUGCGGCACGCCGUUCCGAGUACCUCCCCUCGCCAAUCAUCUGAUCUAAGAGCCUUCCGCCGGGACACAACUCCAUUACAAGAUGAAAACACUCCGAAUCCUCGAACGCCGCCUUGAGGGUCACAAUGCCCGGAUGCCCCGAGAGGUGUUGCAUGAUCUCCACCUCCCGGUGGACCGUCUCCUCGCCGUUCUUGAGCAGCGUUUUGCACGCGAACUCCUCGCCGGUGGCCUUGUUCUUGCAGAUCCGCACCGAGCCGAACUUCCCCUGGCCGAUCUCGCGGCCCAGCGCGUACUCGUGCUCCAGCUUCUUCUUCCGCCCGAUCCGCGUCGCCGACUCGAUGCACCCGAGCUUCCGUUUGAGGCCGCGCCCGGGGGUAUCGGGACACGAUCCGCCGGAGGGAGGCGCGGUCAUGACGAUGCCCGCGGCGGCGCCGGUGGCGGCGCCGACCCGGCCGCCAGAUCCGAUCAUCUCAGAUCGGGGCUUCGGCUUCGACUCCCUGCACUUCUUCUUGCUCCGCCGAUCGAGAUCGCCGGCGCCGCCAUCAUCGGACAAGUGCGAUCCAACGAAGGAACAAGACGACUUCGUCCCCUUCCUCUUCCUCCUAAUCGACUCCAUCGACCCCUCAAGCCCAGGAUCUACGCCGUUGCCUAACCUCACGAAACCCUAACCGCCGAUCGGAGUCUGCAAGCGGAGAAAACGGCGGAUUAGCGGAAAAUCGCCCGAUCGGGCUUCGCGAGGCGCCGAUUCCUCUUCUUGCGCCCCAUCGGCGGGAUCGAUCCCCCCACUACCGCGAUCAAGAAACUCUAUCGGUCGCAAAACCCUAACAAUCACGACCGCGGAGGGGGGAGAGGGAGAGAGAUGGAAACCCUAGAAUCGCCAUGGGGGGCUCGGAGGCGGUAAGAGGCGGCCGCGGGGCUCGGAGAAGGGGAGAUGUAACCUUACCUGCUUCAUAAGGCGAGUGCCCCGAGACAGUGGAAGUAGGGAACGGGGACCGGGGUCGGGGUCGGGAGGUGAAGAAAAGGAGAGGCAAGCAACGUAAAGAAGCGACCACGACCCUUCCACCUCCUUUCUUUUAUAUAAUAAAAAAUUUAUAAUUAGACCCGCUUCGGCGUGGUGUGGGGCCCACGAUGCAUACGUGUUUUGGAUGUAAAUUAUUCCCUGCACCCGGUGUGUAUUCUUAUGCAGCCGGUAUAUAUAUAUAUAUAUAUAUAUAUAUAUAUAUAUAUAUAUAAUAUAGAGAGAGAGGAGAGAGAGAGAGAGAGAGAGAGAGAGAGUUCGUAUUAUGCUAUUAAUAGCCACAAAGACUGAUGCUACAAUUUUCCGCUACUAGAUCUACCCUUUUGAUCAUUUUCACCGUUAGAUCAUACUAUUCAACCAACGCCCACUCACCCUAGGGGCCCACAUCAUCCUAACGCACUCUUAAUCCAAUGCCAAAAACUUGGUAGCACAAUGACUUGGUGCAUUAACAGCAUAGUAGCCUAGUUCUCUCUCUCUCUCUACUAAUAUAUAUAUAUAUAUAUAUAUAGAAUUAUGCUGGAAUACUAUUAAUAGUUAAACGCCUUUUUGCUACAAGUUUAACCUUGAAUGAAAAAUUAUAGGAUCAGGAUGAUAUUAGUCGGUUAGAGUUGAAUGAUCCCCUAGGGUUGAGUGGUCCACUGGGUUAUAAUAUUUAAUCCAAUGGUUAAAAAUAAUGAAAAGAGUUGAUCCAAAGGCUAAAAAACUGGUAGCAACAAUGGGAUUUUGCUACUAAUAGUACCCAGUCCAACUCUCUCUCUCUUCAUCUCUCUCGUUAUAUAUUAUAUAUAUAUAUAUAUAUAUAUAUAUAUAUAUAUAUCUAUACUGCUUAUAAAAAUGUGAGUUUUGAAUUUUUUUCUCUUUCCCAAAAUACCGGUCCCUAUUAAUAUAAUUCCAAUCAUAUACUAAUAAUAUCAUUCAUUCAACUUUAAUGGAAUAAAUCAUACAAUUUUUAUUUUAUUUUUAAAUUAUCAUAAAAUAUAUUAAUUUUUAGUCAUUAGAUGUAAUCCAAUAACUGAAGAAUUAAGUAUCUAUCACUUUUUUUACCUAAAUUGCCCUCAAAUAGUACGUAUCAAAUUUUACUUUUUAUAUGCAUGUCAUAUCUUCUAAUAACCGCCGCCCACAUAAUAUCAUAUUUUAUAACAAAUAAUAUUCGCAUUUCUAAAUAUUUUAUUUCUCACACAAAAUAUCCGCCACCUAUAUAAUAUCCAAUCACAUAAUACCUUCCGCAUAUAUAAUAUUUAAUCAUAUUUUUUAAAAGGUGAAUAUAUAAAAAUUAUCUCAAUUUUACCUAUUAAUAUUUGAAAUAUGAGAUAUUUUUUCAAUAAAAUAUAACAUAUAAAUUUACAAUUUAAAAUUUUAAAUUUGUAGAUAAAUAUGAUUCACAAAUUGAUAUUGAUUUGAGAUAAUUAUUAAAAUAAUUGUUGACACAGACAAACCUUUUUUUAGUCGGAAAAAAUAUUGCAUUUCAUUUGCGAGAAUAGAAAGAAAUUUAUACUUAUCCAAAUUUUUGUCAACUGAAGGAUAUUUGCUGUAAAAUAUUUUUCACAAGCACCCUAUAAAAUAAUAUUCCAUACUUAUAAAAAAAAAUGAAAAUCUCUAUGCAACAAACAUUGAAAAUAUUUUGUAUCUACUAUCUCUCAAUUAACUAAUUAAAAAAAAGGUUUGAAAAAUAAAAUGAUUUAAAUAAGCUUAUCAAAUCAACUUUUAAUUUUAAAUUUGGUUCAUAAUUUCAAAUGUGAAUUAAUAUUUUAAUUUAAAAUUUGAAAUUAAUUAAAAUUUUAAUAUUUUGGGUGUGUAAACAGUAUUUCAAAUUGAAAAUAAUUAAUUAAUUUGAAAAUAUAUCAAUUUUGAAAAAUAGAUGGGAUGAUAAAUAAAUUAAUGUCUUUAAUAAUUAUUUAUAUUGAAAUUAAGGAUUCAAAAUUAAUUUCAAAAUUUAAGUUUUAUUCAUAAAUUUAAAUCUGAAUUUAUUAAUUUAAAAUUUAGAAUUACUUCAAAUUUUUAAAAUUUGGAUACACAUUAAAAAAAAUUAAUGUUAGAAAAAAACUAACUGAUAAAUAAAUUUAUACCACCAAUAAUUACUUAAAUUUAAAAUAUUAAUAUAAAUUUAAUUUAAGUAAAUGUUACGUGCAUUGUACGUCCACUAUAACUAGUAUAUAUAUAUAUAUAUACACAUACGCAAGGGGACCUCCUCGACUAUGUUAUUAUGUCCCACCGUCGAAUAAACUUUCAAGUUCAAAUUUUUUGUUUAUCGACGCAUUUUGAUUGAUUUUUUUUGUUUUUCAUAAAAGCUAUUUUAGAAUGAUAUAUUGGCAAAGAUGUCUCUAUUUAUAUUCCUUUGACUAUUAAAAUUUUUUAAAAUAUUAAGACUCACUUGUAUAAAAAUAAUGUGCACCAUACAAACGGCUUAAAAAUAAAAUGUUAUAAGUUUUAAAAUUAUUAUUAAAAUAUCAAAUAUUCUUCUCAAUAAUGAACAUUUACGGUUUUGAUAUAUAAAUUUUAAACAUCAGAUAAUAAGUUAAGAUUUUAAUAUUUAGUGUUUCUAUCAUCAAAUAUUACGUGUGCCGCAUGCGGCAAAUACUCAUUACACCGGGUGCAGGCAAUAGUAUCUCGGUCUUCCGCAGAGGAAAAGCAUAGUCUAGAAUGCCAUAGGUGGGAUUUCUUCCCUCAAUUAAAUUUCACUCAUCCUUCCAUAAUUUAAAAAAAAUAUAUUUUUAUUAUAUUUUUUUAAAGCAAAAAUAUAGACUAAGUAAAAAUAAUAAAGUAUAACUUAGUUUGUUAUUGAAUCCUAUCCGACGCUAUUAAAUAAAAUGUGGGGUAAAAGUAUAUAGUAAUAUGCUUUUACGUUUUUUUGAUAGGAUCGCAGAAAAUAUAUCGUAAUCAACUCACCGCGAUAUACGGAAUGCAAUAUUACGUACGAAAAUAAAUAGAAUAUUUUUUCAUCGUACUUUCUUACCGCACGUAACGCAAUCUUUCCGCAGUCCCAAACAAAGCAUGGCUGCUAUAGCAGUGGACCCCGGAUUAACAAAUCCGAUCCAACGGCUGGCGUGUAGAGAGAGAAGAGGGGAGGAGAGAGAAGGAGUCGCUGUCGGUCGUAGAUUCCGUCACGGAUUUGGAAUUGUUGUGGUCGCAGGAGUUAUCUAAUUCACGCGACUCCGUUCGUUUCCAAUAUUCAUCCGUGCGUCCGUUCUUGGACUCGCCCACUGCUACGGCGCACGAUUUUUUGUUUUUUUAAUAAAAAUGUAUGGAGUACAUUUGAAAUUUUGUCCCAUUUGAUUUUCUAUUAUUUACUUUAAUAGAAAAUUAUACAACAUGCAAUUAAUUGAGCUGGUAAAAAUAAGUUGCAAAAUUAAAUAGUAAAAUUAAUUUUUUUAAAAAAAAAUAGAUAGUUGGAUCAAAAUGACUUUUGUAAGCUAUUAGAUUAACAUGGUUUUCUUUAAUUUGGAGUGAGAAGGAUGGAUUAGGUAACUAGAAGGUAUAAAGGUGAUGGCUCUUUAGCAUUCUUUUAGUUUCUUAAGAUAAAUUAGUGUUAACUUCCAAAGUUAGAAUAAUUUAAAAAUUCAUAUGGAAGUAUUAUAAUGAUCCUACGAUUGUGAGAUGAAACUAACUGUCUAAUGCAAUGGAGAAUUUUCUACAUACUAUAGCCAAAAGCGACACUUAUAUUUUUAAGAGAUAAUUGCCUAUAAACCAUUCAAAACUUCCAAAAUAUCUAUUUUUUUUUUUUUCAAUAUAUUCCUCAUAUGUUUCCCCGUUAUAUAAAAAUAUUUUCACAUAUAUCACCUAUUAAGUUAUUUUGAAUUAAAGGUGAGUUAAAUGUCCAUUAAAGUUUAAAAAUUCAAAAUACCUCUUUUGCCUUUAAUUUAAGGGCAAAUAAGAAAAUUUGAUGAUAGUAAAAGAGUAUAUUUGAAAAGAACAAAAAUCAAAAUAUUAUUUUCAUCCCUAACUUAAAAAUAAAUAAGAAAAAUUAGUAAUGUUGGAAUGAUAAUAGUAGAAUCGUAUAUUUGAAAGGGCAAAAUAAUAAUUUUAUAGAAAUAACAGCUAUUACUAACAAUUUAUUAACAGAAUGCGUCACUCACCGCGUCACCCAGUUUGCAGUAGGUUGGACUGGUCUUCCCCUCUUCGAAGUGUGCGUUGUGAUGGCUGCAAAAUUUGACUUGCCAUUCACGAACAUGCGAAGGAAAUCCCGUGCAAUUAAAAAGCUUCCCAUUAUAUAUCACUUUACCUCUUCCCCUCAUAACAAUACGAAGAUCACCCCAUAAUUUAUUAGUACGCAGCAAGAGAUACAGUAAGGAGAGAAAGAAACGCCUAUUAACAAUGGGCGAGAAAGGUCACGUAAAAGUGUUUGGUAUGUGGGCGAGCCCAAUUGCGAUAAGGGUGGAGUGGGCGCUUAAACUCAAGGGAGUGGAGUAUGAGUAUGUGGACGAGGACUUAGGCAACAAGAGCGAGGAUCUUCUGCGGCACAACCCGGUGACGAAGAAGGUGCCGGUGCUCGUCCACGACGGCAAGCCCCUCGCGGAGUCGCUGGUCAUCCUGGAGUACAUCGACGAGGUGUGGAAAGAAGGAUACUACCCCAUCAUGCCCGACGAUCCCUACGAGAGGGCGCGGGUGCGGUUCUGGGCCAAAUAUGCAGACGAUAAGGUGUGCGCAUGAAGUUUAGAAGAAUUUUUUAUGGACUGUUUAUGUUCAUUACUGGCGAUUUUUCUUUAAGAAAAAAGCUUUACGAUCUUCUGAAGUUCGGUGCAAAUAAUUUCGAUUAUUCAGUAGUUUUAUGUCAUUUUUGAAGUUCAUGUGAUAAUCUAAAAUUGCGCUAAAUUUCAAAUGAUCUGCUUUAUAUCAUAGCUAUGGAUUACAAUAUAAUAUUGUUUAGAAAAUAUUGCCAUGUUUAUCAUUUUAAAGCGGGCUUAGUGAGAGACUCUGUGUCACAGGAUAUUAUUGAGAAAAGACAAUUUUUUUAUAAGAUCAUAUAUUAAUGAGAGUUAGUGCAUAUAAACUGUAACUAAAAUCCGUCAUAUUACAAUUAGUACCUACAUGCGCAAUCCUAUUUUAUCUAUUAAUUGACACCUUAUCAACUACUACAACAACAGUGCGCACCUGCAGUAUUUCCGGUAUUUUCCACAGCUGGGGAGACGCAGCAAAAAGCCCUGCAUGAAGCCAUAGAGAGCUUGAGGACUCUCGAGCAGGCGCUCGAGGGGAAGAAGUUCUUCGGAGGGGCGACGAUCGGAUACCUCGACAUCGUCGUAGGGUGGUUCGCUUACUGGUUCCCCAUCAUCGGGGAGGUUGCGGGGGUCGACAUUGUCAACGCGCGAAACCUGCCUCUGUUGAAUGCAUGGUUUCAGAGGUUCUUAGACAAUGAUGUGGUGAAGAAAACUUUGCCCCCAAGGGAUAAGGUAUAUGAGCUCAAUAGGGCUCGUCGCGAGAUGUUACUCUCGGCGCAGAGUUCGUAAGUUUCAUAUCAUGUCAUGAUCUUAAACUUCUGGUUUCCCGAAGCUAGCAUAUUACUUAAAUAGAUUAUGAUAAACGGAGGGAACAAUGAAGAUCUUUUAAUAAAUGUAAGGGCAAGGCAUAAUCCACUGCGCUAUGCGUGCAUGUUUUGUGUAUCAAAUUUGUGUGUGCUGAAUAAAAUGCAAUGUUAAAUUAGUUGAGUUUUAAGAUUUUAGGUGUAUCUUAAUUACUGAUACUUUACAAACAAAUCAGCCAAGGUGCCUAUAUUAUAAACACUUCCAUAUCUGGAUUGAACACCAAGACCAUUUAAUAAAAUGUUUUCAUACUUGGGCACUCCAGCUUUUUAAUUUUUUUCCCCUUUCUAAUUCAGAAGUUCCUUGAACAAAUUAUGCUGCAAAUUAAGUCAAGCACCUUAAAUCCCAUAAUACCAAUACAUAUUUCUUAACAUUUUUGAUACUGACGUGCACAAAGGUACAUAGUAAUUUAUGAACAAAGUUUGGCUGAGAUGGGCCUUAACGGAAUCUUUCCGAUAUGGUUCCAAUCCGCCGGAUAGCAUCCGUACCUUCAUCUCAGUGCAGCACAUGAAUCUCCAAGCUAAGGGCCCAAAUUUUAAGAUAAUUUUAGACAUUAAAUUGCCUGCGUCUCAGUAGUCUUGGCUGAGCUCUGUCUACACAUUCAGUUUGCCAAUCCCUACAUAUAAUUAAAAUAAGCAAAAAAAGAAACAACCUCCGCGAAUCAACCAGAUUGAGCUCUUAGAGCCACUUCCUUUUCCUUCUUCUCCUUUCCUUCUCUAUACUCUCCGUAGGAGUAGGAGGCGAGGCCCCAAAGCGAGAGCGCGAGCGCCACACCCUUCUCGCUGCUGAACCUCUCGUCGAAGAAGAUGACACCGAGGACUUCGACCACGGGGAUGAACACCGCGAUGAUGAUCCCCGCGAGCAGCGUGUUCACGCAGAAGAUUACUCCCACCGUGCCCAGGAAGAAGAAUUGCCAGAAGAUGGCGCUCCACACCAGCACCACGUAGUAACGGGCCUCGCCGAGCUCGUAGUUCUUUGCCUCCUUUGGAAUUGUCUGUAGAUUGCGUUUGUAAUUCAGUGCAAUGUUCGUUUUUAUUAGAUUGUUUUGAUAAAAAUGCAGUACAGUUUUUUUUUCUAUAAGAAACCAGAGAUGUAAAUUAUAAUUUUUUUAAAAUAAUAUAAUGAUGGGAUGGGUAUUGCCUUGUUGGGUGCGACUAUUGGAUUCUCGUGCGUGGACUAUGUUUGGCACUCCCCUGGGCGUAGCUUUCAUAGGGGCGAUAUUUUCAAAGCGCAUGAAAAGACGUGACAACUGACAAGAAACAAAGCACUAGAUAACUAAUCCAACAGUUCGCAGGGACUACGGGACAACACGUAUCUCUUAAUCCCGAUAAUUCCGUAAAAGAGAAAUACAAUCAAAAACUAAUUAUCUCUGGUCCAGAAUCGGCAUAUCACAAUUGGCAUUAAAUUCCUAACAUUAACAUCAUUCAGAGCUCUAGGUCCCCCCUAAACUCGAAAUCUGGAUACAUAUAUUAGCAUUACCUGGAAAUCCUUGUUGACGAUCAUCCCCACGGCGCAAAAUGCGGUGGCGAAGAACCCCAUCACCAGCUGCAUCUCAAUCACCAGCGUGUACGUGAUCGGCCGCUUUGCCUUCCGGUACGUCAGCUCCACUAGGGGAAGCACCAACCCGUACAGCGCUGCGGCUCCGAGCGUAAGGAAGAACCCCAUGUAGUACUGCCCUCUGCNGAUAGAAUUUUUCCAGUUAUUUUUUUAUUAACUUUUUUUUUUAACUAAAAGCUCGUGAAAAUUCUAAAUUAAAAAUUUAAAUUCAAUCUCCUUAUAAACUCCAAAUUUAAAUAGUAUUAUUAUUAUCGUCACCUGGAAAUCGUUGUUGACGAUCAUACCCACAGCGCAGAACGCGGUGGCGAAGAACCCCAUCACCAGCUGCAUCUCAAUCACCAGCGUGUACGUGAUCGGCCGCUUCGCCCUCCGAUAUGUCAGCUCCACUAGUGGAAGCACCAACCCGUACAGCGCUGCGGCGCCGAUUGUGAGGAAGAAGCCCAUGUAGUACUGACCCCUAUCGUAAGACAAACAAACUAACUAACUUCUAUCUCUAAAAGGCUAUAAACGUGACCAGAGAAUGGUGUUUUAAUAUUUUAUAAUAUGUUCAGCAGGAGCACCUGCUGACGCCCGGAGGGCGGUCGGAGCGGACAUGGAGGCCGAGGAUGACGGCGCCGACAGUGAGGAGGGCGACGGCGUUGAGGGAGUACGGGGUGAAGCGCUGGCGGACGAGGAGGAAGGCAAAGAGGGCGGUGAAGGCGAGAUGGGUGGAGAUGAGGAUGGCGGCGGUGGAGACGGGGAGGAAGGCGAGGCCGUAGGCGUAGAGGAAGUCGUCGAGCCCCGUGAGGAGGCCGAGGACGGCGCAGGGGAGGAGGAGGCGAGGUGUUGCGAAGACGGAGGGCGGGGUGCGGGAGACUGCGAGGAGGGGGACGAGGAGGAGGGGCCAGCCGGCCGUCUCGAGGAAGCUGGACAGCCAAAUGCGGUGGCCGCCGCGGCGGAAGUAAAGACGGAGCAGGAGAGGGCCGCCGGUGUUGCCGAGAGCCAUGAGCACGCAGUUGAGCACGACCAGGAAGCGCUUUAGCCCGCUGCUCAUGAUCCCUACAUGCUGCUGCUGCUGCUGCUGUUGGUGGUGGAGGUUGUUUUCUCGGCCUUCAAUAUCCAUUUGCUCUGGUAUUGUUUGUGUGUUAGAGAGAGGGAGGGAAUUAAAGGUGGUUUAUUACGUUCCGCAAUAUAUGUAAUAAGAUGUUUAUGGAAAUAUAAGCCGCGGUUCGUUGUACGUUGCUUUGUAUCUAUCAAAGAAGGAAAGAAUUGACGAACUGGAGUAAGAAAACAUUAUACAGAGGGUUAAUUUCUUUUCUUUUUUUUUUUGUCCGUUUUAAUGCGUUAACAUUUUAUUUACUAUAUUUUUAAUUUUUUUAAAAAACUGCGACCAAAUACUAUUUUGUAGAUAUGCAUCAAAGGCUAGCUUACAAAACGUUUUGAUUUCAGUCAACAAAACAAAUUGAUAAAAUAAAUAAGAAAUUAAGUCUUUUGGAUGAAUAGAGUGUAAAAUAUAUACUACUAUUUUAAGAACGUGCAGGUAUUAUUGCUCAAAGAUUUGUCACAUAUUGGUAGAAUAUAUAUCUUACUAAUAAGAAAUGGAUUUUAAAAUUGUCCACACGUAAAAAAUUUUUCAGACAAAAAAUUAUUAUUAUUAAAUAUUUUAUUUCGACAUCUAAGUAAGAUUUAAUUUUUAUAACUCAACAUAUUAAUUACCCCAAGGAUAUUUACCUAUUUUUCAGAAUUGUGGCUCGCACGAGUGUGCAUCCAUGGUUUAUUAUCAUUAACCCUAAUUUAUAUUGGGCUCCGACUCUUUUGUAAAAUCAUCUCAACUUAUGAUCUACUGGAUAUAUGUAGAAUCAAAUUAUUAUAAUUAUUUUUUCCUGAUGCAAGUAAUUUAUCCUAUAUAUGUAUAUAACACAUAACAAGAUGGAUAUAUAUAUAUAUAGAGUGAGGCUACUAUGCUAUCGGAAGCAUGGAGCCUUCCGUGCUUCCAGCUCGUUUUCGAUGUUGCGACUUUCGAAUCGUCGAUCGGCUCCGUUAAACUUGAUCUAGAGUAUUUGAAGUACCUAGAAAAUAAAUUUUAUAAUUUUACGAUAUCAUUUGCCUAGUGAACGAAGGGGCUCAAAAUCAACAGUUAAAAAUAAAAAUCUUACAAAAUGUAAUAAUAUGACAUUAAAAUUUUAAAUCAAAGAUAUUAAUCUUGUUUUAUAUAAUAUAAAGAAUUUUCUAUCAAAAUUUCACGUGAUUUGGAUAUUUCUACACCGUUAAACUUGCAAACGGCUCAUCUACCUGCUAUUGAAAUUUUGUUAAUUUUGAGCCAUUCGAUCACUAGGCAAAUGAUAUCGAAAAAUAAUAAAAUUUAUUUCUAUGUACUCCAAUACUCUAGAUCAAGUUUAACGUGCCGAUCACGAUUCGAAAGUCGCAAACAAUCGAAAACGAGUUGGAAGCACGGAAGCUCCGUGCUUUCGAUAGCAUAGUAGCCUCACUCUAUAUAUUAUAUAUAUAUAUAUAUAUAUAUAGGUGAUAAGUGUAGAAUCAUGUGUUUUAUUAUGCAAAACCACAUGAAUAACUAAACGAUUUAACCAAGCAUGUGUUCUGGGCCGGCACAAAAUAUUGCUGGAGGUUAUCAAAAGUUAAAAUAAGGCAUUAAGCAGCCAACUAAACUAAAAAAAAAAAAAAAAUUGAUAAAUUAAAAAUUAAAAACUUACUUUCACUUGCUGAUCAUUUAUUAAUUUUUCUUUUUUAUGUCCGAAUUUUUAAGUUUAUUUUAUUCAUACGCCUUUCGUGUAAGCAAAGCUCAUUAAAAAUUGUUCUUACGGAGUUGCUUUCUUUGACUAAUACAUCACGAUAGGACCAUAAUGUCUUGAUGAUUUAACAUCAUCAGCAUUAUUGAUUCAAGAUUUUUUUCCUUUCCCUCUCCCAGAUCCCACUUUGUGGCCAUAUGUAAGUGUCUUCUUUUUUUUUUUUCGCUUUUUCAUUUUUUUUCCACAAAGUUACUUCUAAAAGCAAAAUUUUCUGAUAAAGAAUCCGUAAAAAGCAUAGUGUCUGAGCAUUGCUACAUAGUGGAACUCUGGAAGAGAGUUUGGGCAUUCCUCUUUGUGAUGAAAAAGGUUGAUUAAAGAAAAGACUACAAAGUUUUUUUUUUUUUUUUUUUUUUUUUUUGAAAGAGAAAGAUAAUAUACUAUUUAUUUUAUUUAUUUUUUUAAAAAAUAAUUUAACUAAAAAUAUGAAAUAACUAGACUUCGAACUUGAAAUCUCAUAUAUCAAUCACUAAAUCGUUUGUCACUAGCACUAUAGAUGCACAAUAAAAAAAAGACUCCAAAGUUGAAUAAUCCUUCUUGUGAUGGUGGAUAAGCACAAAACACACACUCGCAUACACCAAAAGCAAAAAAGAACACACUGACAGUCCCAGGCGCAAGUGGCAAAAGGGCUUGGUGGUUGGUAUUCAAGACCCAAGUUCGAAUCCUAGUUGAUUCAUAUUUCCAACUAAGUUUAUUUCUAAAUGAAAUAAACGAGGGUAGCAUGCUACCUUUCUCUCUCUCUAAAAAAAAAAAAAAAGAAAAAAAAAAACCAAACAAAAAAAUAAUGGGGGUCAUACGCCAAUUAUUGGGACCAUGUUGUUAUGCUUCAAUUAAUUGUGGGACUGAGUCGUGAGCGUGCUGAUUGAUUGUGACCAGGUGAUGCUUAUUUUAAGACGUGGAUGAAUAAUGUUAUGUUCACCUCAGAAAAAAACUAAAUAUAAAUAGUAAUAGGCUCAGUUCAGUAUCUGAGAGAAUAUCCAUCAAUCUAGCUGAUUGUUAUGAUGCCCCAUCAUUUUGUAGAGUUGCUACAAUUGACAACUAGUGACUCCUAACCGCUGAACUAUGACUUGUUGCGAAGAUUUUUUUUUUUUUUUUUUCGGAGAAAUCAAAAGUCCAAUAAGUUAUUCCGGAUUUUGUAGUUACGAGCGUCAUCUGAAUUUUCCGAUAUGUUAAUAAUUUAUAAACAAAUUAUAUUUAUUGGGACUUAUAAUCAUUUUUGAAAAUGUCGCAAGAGGUACAAUUAUUCAAAAUAAACAGAUCAUUAGCUUACUAAAUGUUAUCUGGCUGAGGUCACGAGUUCAAUAACUACUCGUGGUUUCACCAAAUGAUGUUGAUGCGUGCGAUUUUUUUUUUUUUUUUUUUUUGAGAGAGAGAGAUAGGUUGCACGAUAUCCGUUUUGUUUAUUUCAUUUAGAAAUAAACUUAGCUGAAAAUGUGAAUCAACUAGGAUUCGAACUUGGGUCUCGGAUAUCAACUACCAAGCUCUUUGCCACUUGCUCUAGGAAAGGUCGGUUGCGUGUGACUUCUUAGGUUACAAAAUAGUGCAUGUACUAGAAUAUUUGUUAAUAAAGGUCUAGGGACAAACUAACAAAAGAAAAGGGGAAGAGGCAAAUUGUAGUGGAACAACAGUGACCACUAAACCUACCAUUUUAUUUUAUUUUAUUUUAUUUUUUUUUGAGAGAAACCAUUUUUUUUUAAUAAUAAAAGAUGGCCACUUGUGGCUUUUCGCCUUGGCGUGCACAAAUUUUAUUUUGAUGGAUUUGGACCCACCGCUAUGUAUUAGAGACAAAAAUAGGCCGCAUUGGGCCCAUUAGUUUAAUGGACCCAAAACGAAGUACGAAAAGCUCGCUUGUUAAUGUAAUAUUAGUUUAAAAUUUUGUGAGCCUUACUUAGGCCCAUGAACCCAUCGCGUUCACCUUUUUUUUAAUCUUUUUUUGAGGAUUUUAAAUGUAAAUUUUAUAAGGUGGUACAAUGGCCUUUUAUGAAAUUUAUAAGGAUUUUUUAUGGACUUUUAAAGUUCAUUUAUGGUGUUUUUUUUUUUUUUUUUUUUUUUUUUUUUUUUUUUUCCCUUUAGGAUCUUCUGAAGUUUCGUUCAAAUUAAGAGUGUAAUACUAUUCAAGUGAUUUUACGUCAUUUUUGAAGUUCAAGUGAUAAUCUAAAUUGCGCUAAAAUUCAAAUGAUCCGCUUUCUUUACCUUUGGAUUAUUAUAAUAAAUUAUUUAGAAAAAAUUGCUUAUUCGGAUACUGCGUGUCACAGGAUAUUUCCUAUGAACAAUUUUUAAUAGAGAAGAUCUAGCCUCUUAAGUUAACAUCUUUUUUUAUUUUUUUGGGUUACGACAAAAAGUUAAAAAUUGAUUUUGAAGAAUAUGAAGUAAAAGCAAAGAUUUUAAACCUUUUGGACUUUAUUGUCUAGGCAUCUAUAUAUCAUACUUUGUGCUCUUCGAAAAAUUGCGCCAAACAUGUUUUAUCAAGAUCAAUGAGUUCUCGUACAUAAAGUGAUAAUUAAAUUCCAUCAUACUAUAAUUAGCAGCAGGAUUAUUAUUAAGGGAGUUGUUGAUUGAAGGGCCUUCUAAUAUAAAUAAGGGCAAGGCGUAAUCUACUGUGCCAUGCAUGCAUGUUUUGUGUAUGCUAAAUAAAUUACAAUGUCAAAUUAGUUGAGUUUGAUUGUUUUAGCAAUAUCUUAAUUAUUAGUACUUUGUAAAUAAAUCAGCCAUAGUGCCUCUACGUUUUCACAUCUAGAUAGAACACCAAGACCAUUAACAAAAUUUUUCCAACUUGGGAGCUUCGAUUUUUUUUCUUUUCUUAAUUUCUAAUUCAAAAGUUACGUGAAAAACUUGUGCUUACAUCAAAUCAAGCACCAAAAAUCCCAUAAUUAUACCAAUAAAUGCACGUGCACGCUGAAAAUGAAUUUCCAACAUUUAGAUCAUGACACAAAAGUUCAUAGUAAUUUUGUGAACAAAAUUUGGCUGAGAUGGGGUUCUCAAUGGAAUCUUUUUGAGACUGACCUUUAUCUCAGAGCAUGCAGCGCACGAAUCUCAAAGCCAAGCACCUAAAUUUUGAGGCCCACUUUGAACGGUAAUAAAUUACCUACGUCUCAGCGGUCCUGGCCGAGCACUGUAUACAUGUUUGGUUUGCCACAGGUGGGGAACGAACAAGCAAGCUCAAUGAAUCAACCGGACUGAGCUCUUAGAGCCACUUCCUUUUCCUUCUCUUUUCCUUCUCUAUACUCCCCGUAGGAGUAGGACGCGAGGCCCCAGAGCGAGAGCGUGAGCGCCACGCCCUUCUCGCUGCUGAACCUCUCCUUGAAGAUGAUGACUCCGAGGACUUCGGUCACCGGUAUGAACACCGCGAUGAUGAUCGCCGCAAGCAGCGUGUUCACACAGAAGAUGACUCCCAUCGUGCCCAGGAAGAAGAAUUGCCAGAAGAUGGCGCACCACACCAGCACCAUGUAGUACCAGGUCUCGCCGAGCUCAUAGCUCUUUGCCUCCUUUGAAAUUGCCUGGAGAUUGUACUUAUAGUGAAAUGUUAUAUUGGAACGCUGAAGCAUCAUUAUAAGAUGGUUUUGCGCGAUUGAAUCGUAACAUGAGAAUUUUAAUGUACUGCGGUGUAAGUCUUGCUGUUAGUUGAAAGUGUUUAAAAAUAGGAAAACAAAUCAAUGUAAAUUUUAUUUUGACUUUCUUUUAUAAAAAAUUUGUUUUGUAUGUUUUAGAAAUAAACAUAGUUCUUUCAAUUUUUGCAAAUCCGAGAAAAUCAAUCAAAAUGCCUUUAUGCCUAAAAACAAUUAGCGUCCUCCUCCACCCACUCCUUGCCUUCGUCUGCUCUGUCCUCAUCCGCGCCUUCUCGCUCUCAAAGUCCUUCUUCUCCUCCUCCACUAGCGGCGGCGAAUGCGGAAGUGUCACCGCUCUCCUCACCAUUAUUGAGUACGCCCAUAGCCGCUAAUCUCGACGCUCUCCACUCGCCGCCACGGCGGUGGGGACGUUGCAGGAGGGGCAAAAACAAGGAAAAAAGUAGAGAGAAAAAAAAAAGCAAGAAGUAUAAAAAUUAUUGAAUUAUUUUUUUUAAAAUUGAAUUGAAUCUAUAAAAUAUAAUAAAAUAAAUUUUUUUUUCUAAAAGCAUAAAAUUGAUAAAUAUUCUAUAUAAAAAAAAACUUUUUAUGUUUUUUUAAAAAUAAUAUAACGUCCUUUUCACAGGACGCGAAUGAGCACUGACGUAGUGACGUGUUAGUAGUAGUGUGCAUGACUGUUGGAUUCUGCUGAUCUGGUGCAGGUUAUUUUCAAAGCGAUCGGUACUUUUCCACGGAGCCUAAUAUUUUCAAAGCGGGUUCAAAUUUUCUACAUCCGAAGGCCAUACAGACACAAGUUGGCCAACAGUAAAACAACCACAAUACUGAAAAGGAGUAAGAUUCUUUCUUUAUUCAAAAUAAUACUCAUUGUAAUUAAUAAUUAUAAUUUAUUUUUUAAUACUAAACCUCUUUCAACAAACACUAAAUGAAAAUAAAGAGUAUAAAAUUAAAUCCAUCUUCACUUAUACAUGUUUAUUUACCUUUUAAAUAAUGCUAUAUGACAUUCAAUAUAAUAAAAUAUAUAAUAUAUAUACUAUAUAUAUAGUAUAGUAUAAUAUAUAUAUAUAUAUAAUUGAAGCAUUUUCCACAUUGGAACCAUAUAAUGCCACUUGGCGCACUUAUAAAAUUUCUUGACAACAAAUAAAAUUAAAUAUAAUCAUAAAUAUAUAUAAUAUAUAUAUAAUGUCCCACAAAACAUUUAAUAUAAUAUUAUAAAAUAAAUAAUUAGAAAAUAUAUAAUUGGUAAUUGUAUCAAAUUGAAACCAUAUGAUGCCACUGCGCACUUACAAAAGAAGUUCAAUGUUGCCACGUGGCAUAUAUAUACAUAUAAUAUAUUACAUAUAAUAUAUAUAUAAUAUAUCAUAACCGAACAUUUUAAUUAAAUUAUUAUACAAAAUAUUUAUAGUAAUUAAAGAAAUCAUAACCAACUAAUUUAAUUAAAUUAUAUACAAAUAUUAAAUUAUUAGAAGAAUAUAACCAUAUUCUUAUAAUAAUAUAUUAAAUAUUGGAUCAUAUAUCACUUUUUUUAUAAAUAAAUAUAUAAUAUAAAUAUCAAAAACUUACCUUAAUUAUAAAUAUUAAUAAUUAUUUUAUUAUCUAUAAAUAAACAAAUAAUUAAUUAUUUUAUUCUAACUGCACAAAACAGUUAAUUCUUUUUCCCAAACUGAGCAAUAGUUUUUUUUUGCCCUUUUUUUUGAUGAUGCCUAUUCAAGCUUUAUAGUUCUCUCUCAUCUAUUUCUCUUAGGGUUUAGGUUCUAACUCUCUCGGCGUUUUAACAAUAUUACCCAUUGCAGGAUGAAUGCGAGCGGGCGCGCCGUCAUAGAGAACAGAGGCAGAGGGGCGUGAAAUCAGAUAAUAUUAUAUUAUAUUUAAUAUCAUUAUUAUAUGGAGAUUAUACAUAAUAAUAUAAAAAAGAAAAAUAUAUAUAUAUAUAUAUAUAUAUAUAUUAUAAUAUAUUAUAUAUAGAUAUAUUCAACUAUUUAAUAAAUAUUAAAUCAUAACCAACUAUUUAAUUUAAAUUAUUAUACAAAUAUUAAUUCAUAGAGAAAUCAUAACCAAUCUUAUUUAUUAAAUUGUAUAAAAAAAUAUUAAGUAAUUAGAGGAAUCAUAACCAAACUAUUAAUAAAUUAUUAUUGCAAUAUUUAAUAUUAAGAAAAUCAAACGCAUAUAGUUACAAUCAAAUUAAUAUUAUACUAUUUUAAUUAAAUUAUUAUAACAAAUAUUUAAAUAUAAUAAAAAAUCAUAACCAUCAACAUACGCAAAUUAUUAUAAUAUUGUAAAUUUGGUCUUCUUUUUUUAUAUAUAUUUUUUAAUAUAUAAUUAGCUACUUAUUUAAAUAUUAAAUAAUAAAAAGUAAUAAAUUUUUUUCUUAACUGUGCACAAUAUGUUAUUUUUUUCCUAACACACUCAACAGUUAUUUUUUCCUUAACUGAACAACAUCAUUUUUUUUUCCCUUCUUCUUUGAUUGGAGCCUAUUCAACUUUAUAAUCUCUCUCUAUUCUCUCAUUGGGUAGGUUCUAACAUCCUCUCCGCGGUUUACUCUUUACCGCUUGCAGAUGAUGCAGCGGGCCAGUCAUAGAAAAGUAGGCGGAGGCCGGCUGAAAAUCGCAUUAUUGCUUUAAUUUAUUUAAUUUUUUUGGAUAAUAUAUAUACUAUUUAAUACAACUAUUUUAAUUAAAUUAUAUAGCAAAUAUUUAAAUAAUUGAAGAAACAAUAAACUCAUUACAUACCAAAUUAUUUUGAUAUUGUAAAUUGUCUCUUUUAAUUAUAUAAUAUUUUUAUAAUAAUAUAGCUUUACUUAUUAUUUAAAUAUUAAAAUAAAAAGUAAUAAUAUUUUUUUUCUUAAACUGCAGCAAUAGGUAUUUUUUUCUAUUUUUUCCCUUCUUCUUGAUUGGGCAUUACAACUUUUUAUAGUUAAGUAUAAAUUUUUAUCUUAAAAUUAUAAUUAUGAUUUAUACAAGAAAAUGCUAUUAUUUCCUCAUCUAUUAUCCUUGUAUAGAUAGGUGGAGGCAAGACCUUAUUUCCAUAUUAUACACAAUGUCUUUCUACAAAAUUAGUUAUAUUUUCCAUCUUUAUGCAGCAAUCUUCUACGUAAAUGUAAGUUGUAAUUUCAAACAUCAUGAAAAUAAUACGUUUAAUGAUUUGUCAGUUUUUAAAUCUAUAAUACUUAUCUUUUUUUUUUUUACAGGAUACAUACCAUAGUUUGGACUGUCGUCAUAGUAUUGAAAUUUCUGAGUCAUAAUAUAUCCUCCUAUCCGACAAGAAAUGCUCAAUAAUUACUUUGGUGGAGUUGUUUGAUAUUAUAUUAAAUUUUAUGAUUGAUUGUUGAAAAUAAUACGAUAUACAUACAUGACUAAUUAAAAUUCACAAUAAAAUAUAAUUUUUUAGUUAAAGAAUCAUAAUAUAUUCAUCUUCACCAAGUUCUAAACUAAAAAUGUACUUUUCAAAUUUUAAUCACUUUGAAUCCUUCAAAAAAUACUUAACAGAAUUAGUCAUUAAGAAUUUGAAAUAAAAUUAAUUUUCUUCGCCAUUUCAAUAUUGUGUAUUAAAAAAUAUAUAAAUAAUAAUUAUGUUAAAUUUUUAAUGGAUUUGAACCUUUUUACUUUUUCAUUUUAAAAUCUUUUCAUUUUAAAUUAUUUACUUACAAUCUAUUAGUAUAUCAUGAUAGUAUUUAUUUUAAUUUGAUUCAAUAAUUUUUCUAAUAAAAACUUAAUAUGUAAAAAUUAAUAUAUAUUAUAUAAAAAUUGUAAUAAAAAUAUAUUAGAAAAACUUAAUAUACAAAAAUUAAUAUAUAUUAUGUAAAAAAUGUAAUUAAAAGAUAAAUUUAAAAUCCAUGCAUUGCACGGGUUAGUUGCUAGUAAGUAUUAAUCUUGCACUCUUAUUUUUUUGAUGGAUAGAAUUUUUCCAGUUAUUUUUUUAUUAACUUUUUUUUUUAACUAAAAGCUCGUGAAAAUUCUAAAUUAAAAAUUUAAAUUCAAUCUCCUUAUAAACUCCAAAUUUAAAUAGUAUUAUUAUUAUCGUCACCUGGAAAUCGUUGUUGACGAUCAUACCCACAGCGCAGAACGCGGUGGCGAAGAACCCCAUCACCAGCUGCAUCUCAAUCACCAGCGUGUACGUGAUCGGCCGCUUCGCCCUCCGAUAUGUCAGCUCCACUAGUGGAAGCACCAACCCGUACAGCGCUGCGGCGCCGAUUGUGAGGAAGAAGCCCAUGUAGUACUGACCCCUAUCGUAAGACAAACAAACUAACUAACUUCUAUCUCUAAAAGGCUAUAAACGUGACCAGAGAAUGGUGUUUUAAUAUUUUAUAAUAUGUUCAGCAGGAGCACCUGCUGACGCCCGGAGGGCGGUCGGAGCGGACAUGGAGGCCGAGGAUGACGGCGCCGACAGUGAGGAGGGCGACGGCGUUGAGGGAGUACGGGGUGAAGCGCUGGCGGACGAGGAGGAAGGCAAAGAGGGCGGUGAAGGCGAGAUGGGUGGAGAUGAGGAUGGCGGCGGUGGAGACGGGGAGGAAGGCGAGGCCGUAGGCGUAGAGGAAGUCGUCGAGCCCCGUGAGGAGGCCGAGGACGGCGCAGGGGAGGAGGAGGCGAGGUGUUGCGAAGACGGAGGGCGGGGUGCGGGAGACUGCGAGGAGGGGGACGAGGAGGAGGGGCCAGCCGGCCGUCUCGAGGAAGCUGGACAGCCAAAUGCGGUGGCCGCCGCGGCGGAAGUAAAGACGGAGCAGGAGAGGGCCGCCGGUGUUGCCGAGAGCCAUGAGCACGCAGUUGAGCACGACCAGGAAGCGCUUUAGCCCGCUGCUCAUGAUCCCUACACGCUGCUGCUGCUGUUGCUGCAGGUUGUUAUCACGGCCUUCAUGAUCAAUAUCCAUGAUUUUGGUAUAUAUUGUUUGUGUGUUAGAUAAAGGAAAGGAAUUAAAGGUAGUAAUUAGCUAUGUCAAUGCAUCAAACUAUGUAAAAAAAAUAACAGUUAUGUCGAAACAAGGCCUUAAUUUUGUUCCUUGUCAUUUAUUUUAUUUGCUUUGUGUUUCUUUUUUUUUUUUUUUUUUUCUCUGUUUCCGAACUUUCAAGUUUAUCGAGCAGAACUCGUGAAAGACUUUUCGUAUUUAUCUAGUUGCUUUCUUUGACUAAUACACGGAGAUCGAACCAUACGGCCUUUAUGAUUUAACAUGACAAUCAUUGUUGAUUCAAGUUUUUUUUUUUUUGUUUUUUUGCUUUUUUUUUUCGGCUCCCACAUUCCACUGCGUGGCUAAUUGUUAUUUAAUAAUUGUCUUUUAUUUUUGUUAAAAAAAGUUACUCCUAUGAAAAAAAAAAAAAACCCACUGAGUUAGAAGAGAGUUUGAACAUGAAUAUUACCCUUUGUGAAAAGUCUCCGGGAACUCACUUGAUUUACCUAUUUUAGGCUAUAAAAAAUAUUUUAUUAAUUUUUAUAGUUGUUAUUUAUUUUAUAAGAAUUAGAUUCUUAUUCCACUCCGCAAUAGGAAUAAACCAAUUUAUUUACCGUCAAAUUCGGUUUUGAAUUCUAUACUAAUUUAUUCCAAAUUAAGCCACUUAAAUUCCUCUCUGACAAAUAUAUAUUUUUUUUCUAGUUUCAACACUCUCCUCUCUCUUAGCCAAAAUCUUUUUUCAAAAUUCUAAACAUUCAUUACAUUUCAAUACAGUUAAAAUCAAAAAAAAAAAAAAAUCUUCAUCCUGAGGAUAGGCAAAAGAAAAAUUAAAUAAAACAAAAACGUCACAUGCCAAGUACUGGGACCAUAUGUUAUUGCGAUCCACUUAAGUAUGUGGGGUUGGGUUGGUCACUACCGCAUCGCAGAUUAAUUGUGACUGGGCAAGUUCAUUUUUCAGUUUGUCUACGAGUAAUGUAUGGUAACAGGCUAAUUGGUUGCUAUCAUGCCACGUCUCUCUACAGAAAUUGAUAGCAGGUACUUCCUUUCCCCUUCGCUGAACAAUAACUUGUCGUGAAGAUAUUUUUUUUCUUCGAAUUAAGAUGUUGAAAGUGCGCUAGUUGUUUUGAUUUUGCAGUUUCGAGCGACUCUGAAUUUACCAGUAAAUUAAUAGUUUAUAAGAAAACACAGACAGUGACAUCUAAUCAGUUCCAAAAGUAUAUGUUAUUUGGGUGAGGUCACCAGUUCAUUUUCUGAUUGUGCUUUAACGUACAUAAAUAAAUAGUCUCCGUACCCGCACAUUGUAGUAGAACCACGAUGGCCACUUAACCUAUCCGUUUUUUUUUUUUUUAUUAACCUGGAAAGCUAAAAAGAUGGCCACUAAUAGCUUUUAGCCUUGGUUUAAAGAGAGGAUGGAUAGGUAACACUGUCCUGUAUACUGUGCGGGUGCGAGGAGGAAACUGUCGACCAUCUUUUCACACGGUGCGUCUUUUUGAAAUUCCUACUGAUGACGUUCUUGGAUAACGCCUAGCCUACUGAUUGGGGGGAUGAUGUGAUGUCGGUCUGGGAUAGAUGGACGGAUAGGAUUGGAUCGCAAUCAACGAAGCUGAAGAUAACAAGAUUGGUAGCUUGUUGGUGGGUUAUUUGGGAGAUCAGGAACGGUGUAAUCUUUAGGAAGGCCCGGUCGGACCCCCUCCUUAUGUCUUGUAGGAUUAAGCAGUUUUUGAAUCUUUGGAAACUGUUUCUCCCAGCUAAUCGGAGGCUCAGUUGUAGUCGGUAGUUUUUUUUUUUUUUUUUUUCCGCCCCCUCCAAGGCUGUUGUUGUCUCACGCAUGUAGUCUAGUUCAUUUUUUCAAUGAAUGAAACGGGUACCGUGCUACCUUUUUCUUAACCCAAAAAAAAAGCUUCUAGCCUUGGCGUGCACAAAUUCUAUUGGGAUGCAUUUGUACCCACUAAUUCUCUAGGGGAAACGUAAAUUGGUACGGUUGGGCCCAUUAUUUAAUGCGGCCAAACCUAAGUACGAACAAUGUUUAUAUUCAUUUUAUGGGCCUUAGUAAGGCCCAUGAACCCAAUCACUGUCAAAAAGUUGGCUCGUUGUUUACUUCAUUUUUUUAUUUUUAUUUUUUUGAGGAACAAACUUGUGAGCUAUUCAGUUGUUACAAAUUUGGAUUGGAAUCACUGUAUUCUCUAUUUAAUGGGUAAUUUUAUCAUUUUUGCCUUUUCUAUUAAGGCCCCGUUUGGAUACUUACUGGUAGAAAAAUUAUCGUAUAAAGUGUUUGGGAGAAAAAAAAAUAACGUAAAUUUUGGAGUAUAAUUAAACUAUACUCCAAAAAAUAGAGUAAAAUUAUAAUGCACUCUAAUCAAAGAAAAAUAAUUUCAUCAUUCUUGAGUAAAGAUGCAUCAAGUUCUAACUUUUAAAUUUCAACAUAAAAUUUUAAAUUUCAACAUAGAUUUCAAAAUUUAAAUUUUAAAUUUUAUAAUUUAAUUUAUAUUCAAAUUUUAAAUUUUAAUUUUUAUAAUUUAAUUUAUAUUCAAAAUUUUAAUUUCAAAUUUAAAAUUUGAAUUUUAAAUUUUAAAUAUCAAAAAUUAAUUUUUUUAAUUUCAAAAUAUAAAUGUCAAAUUUUAAAUUUUAAAUNUUUUAAAUUUUAAAUUUUAAAUUUCAAAUUUUAAAUUUUAAAUUUUAAAAUUUAAAUUUUAAAUUUUAAAUUUUAAAUUUCAAAUUUUAAAUUUUAAAUUUUAAAUUUUAAAUUUCAAAUUUCAAACUUUAAUUUUCAAAUUUUAACUUUUAAAUUUAAAUUUAAAUUUAAAAUUUGAAAUUUGAAAUUUGAAAUUUCAAAUCUCAAAUCUCAUAGUUCAAAUUUCAAAAUUUGAACUUUAAAUUUUAAAUUUAUUUUUAAAAUUUAAAAUUUAAAUUUAUAAUUUUAAAUUUGAAAUUUGAAAUUUGAAAUUUAAAAUUUAAAAUUUUAAAUUUUAAAUCUCAAAUCUCAUAGCUCAAAUUUCAAAAUUUGAAAUUUAUUUUUAAAAUUUUAAAAUUUAAAUUUGAAAUUUAAAAUUUAAAAUUUUAAAAUUUUAAAAUUAAAUUUAGAUUUUCAUAUUUAAAUAUUUAGUUUUUAAAUUUUAAAUUUCAAAUUUUAAAAAUUUUAAUUUAAAAUUUAAAAUUUUACAUUUCAUGUAUCAAAUUUUAAAUUUUAAAUUUCAUUAAAAUUUUAAAUUUUAAAUUUAAAAUUUAGAAAAAUUUCGUGAAAUUAAACAAUGCGCAUCCAAACAAUUUAAAAAUUGAAUAUGUGGACUUUUUUUUAGUGUUACAUGAUUUCCUAUUUUAUUAGUACCAAAUCACAGUUAAUAAAAUCAGUAAAAAUUUCUCCAGUGUCAACUCAAGAACACGGCCUAUGCCGCUGCCAUCGUCUUCGUAUUCGUCGUCCACGUGAUCAUAACUUCAUAAGUUGGCUGUUUCUCGACAAGCUCAAGUUUGGCGUCAUCGUCGCCGUGGUCACCCUCGACUUCUCGUGGUGGGUGGCGGUGGCGGUGCAGUUCGGGUAUGUCAUGUGGGGCGGGUGCCCGGACUCGCGGAAGGCGUUCUCCUUUGAAGCCUUCUACGAGCUCCGGGAGUUCGUCAAGCUGUCGGCUGCUUCCGGUGUCACGCGAUGGUUCGUUUGUCCUUUCUGAACGUUAUUAUUAUAUACAUAAUUUCCUAUUAAAGUUUAAUCAUUCAAUGUGUCACUCGUUGGAGCAGCUUGGAGUACUGGUACUACAGAACAGUGCUUUUGUUAGCUGGUAAUCUCAAGAAUGCAGAGACUGCCGUGGAUGCCCUUUCUGUUUGGUAACAAAAAUCCAACUUAUGUUCUAUCAUCUUGAGGCAUCUUAGAGAUAGAUUAGCAAAGAACAACUAAAGAAACAUUAUAAAGUGCGAAAAACAUACGUGUCCUAAACAAUUGAGGAUCUCUUCUUAAUGGACUUUUUGUACAAAAUAAAGCGUGAAUCGAUCAGAGGAAAAUUCGGUUGGCUUUAGCUGAAUAAUCCAAGAUUUACUCUGCGAUUAAUACAUGAUCUAAAACUAACAAGAACUUCGUGUAAUAUCUUUCUACAAAUAUUUGUUUAUUUGGACAGUAUGAACAUUAAUUAAUGUCUGGGAGAUGAUGAUUCCGCGCGAUGUCAUUCUUUCAAGCUGCCAUCGUCUUGGCGGGAACUUCGACGGCGAUAGGCCUCUUCUUUUGGGCCGUAAUUAUAGGUUUGCACCACAAGAUUGCUCUCAUCUUCUCGUCAAGUUCAGUCGUGCUUGAGGCCGUCGACAAACUUACUCCCCUGCUGGCCUUCGCCAUUCCCCUCAAUAGCAUCCAACCAAUUCUCUCUGGUAAGCUUGUACCUCUGUUUCUGGAUUUCAUAUUUCUCGAUAAAAUGACGUGUAAAUAAAUGCGGAAAUUCUGAAACUUUCGUAUAUAAAACUCGGCUCAAACUGCUCGCAUUACAAGCAAAUAAUGGUUCCACUACAUAAUGUUUGAUUAGUAACAGAGCAGUGCUUUGUGUGUAGGUGUUGCAGUACAUGUAGGUUCAGGGUGGCAAGGAUUGGUGGCAAAUGUGAAUAUUGGAACCUACUACAUUAUGCUGGAAUCGUACUUGGAUGGGUCUACAACCUUGGUGUCUUGGUAUGACCACCUAAUUUCUCAGUUCUAUCAAAAUUGCCGCUUUUAGAGACCUCAUAAAUGGAACUUAUUUAGUAUGCCAACAAAAUUCUGGAUAGUUUCUCAGAUAAAAUGUAUACAUCUACUACUCAAUAGUGUUUCUUCAUGUUUUUUUUUAAAAGAUCCCUCAACCAUGUAGCUCCAAUUCAAGUAAUAUAUAUUUUGUAAGUUGUGAGUAGCAGGGUAUCUGGGAUGGAUUGAUUGGUGGACCUGCAGUUCAAACAGUCAUUUUGGCCCUCAUCAAAACUAGAUGUAAUUGGGGCAUAGAGUUGAAUUAAUUUACCUUUUCUUUCUUUUCUUUUUUUUUUUCUACUUUUGCUUUUAACUUCUGAAGUUUUAUUGCAUUUGUAUUCAGAUCAUUCCUUAACGCAUAAUAACUUUGAGAUUUCACUUGUAGGAAAAAAUUGCGAAUGCGCAGAUGCAGAAGUGGGCAGUUUAUUCACUAAGCACCUGUUUGGUUCGGAGUUAAGGGGUGGAAUAAGUUCUUAACCCCGAAGUUUUUCCCAAAUGCCCAAUUUGGAGAUGAGGUUAGCCAACCCCACCACACCCCAUCCCACCCCACCCCACUACUUCAACCAAACAAAACACUAUUUUAUCCACUAUCCUUCUUAUCCCAUCUAUUCCAACCAAAUACUAUUUUAUAUAUAUCUGGACUAAACCCAAUUUUCAACCAAACACAAAAUUACUCUAACCCCACCUUAACCCUGAACUUAACUCUAUUUUUGGAAUAACAAAGUUUUUACUUAACCAGAACCAAACGGUAGCUAAGUCUUUAGUUGGAAAACAAAAAUGUUAUGCUUUGAUUGUUUGAGAUGUAUAAAAAAAAA